UUUUUUUUUUUUUGUGAAAUCUUGGCCAUCAACCGUUCAUACAACCAUUCUUGCCCCAAAUCCGUGCUUUUCUUGGCCAAUUCAAUUAUUAAACCCGUAAAUGAUUCGAACGGUUCAAUCACUGAGAGUUAAAUGGAGCAUUUUUUUUAAGAACUAUCUGGGCAAAAAAUAUAUUUGCUCUUGCUUGAACACAAUAAAUUUGACGGGAAAAAAAAUUGACUAGACAAUUUUAUCCCUCAAACCCUAGGCAAAAAUGACAUUUCUAUCCAUAUAUUUAAAGCAAACACAAGACAUUCAAGACUGGUAUGCAAGGGUGCUAUUGGGCUUGAUGGAAAUUGAGUUCAACUACUACUGUGACAUGGACUUCUGGUCUACUACGACAACAAAGAAUGUAACUAAAACUAGGAACAAUUUAUCAUGAAUUCCCAUAAAAAAUAUAUAGUGAAUAUAUAAUUUGAAAAAUAAAAAAUUGAUGUUAUUGGAUGUAAUAAGUGGGAAUAAAAUAAAUAAUGGCAAUUAAAGAAAAUUGCAAUGUUAUAACAAUAAAUAAGCAAAAUACGGAAGCUAUGAUGCCAUUGAUAUAUCAUUUCAAGUCCAUUUCUUCCAAAGGUUAACAAAGGAAGAAAAUUCCAUAUGUUAUAACAAUAAAUAAAUUAAAAGUGGAACUUAUGGUGCCUCAAAUAUAUGACUUCACGAGCAUUUGUUCCGAAGAUCAAAACAGUAAGUGAAUUACGAGAUUGAGGUAUGAAGAAAAAGAUUCCUCCUUCUUGAAAGUCAUGAUCAACAACAAAAGCAUUCCAAUUUUGAUGAAAUUUAUUUUUUGUCAUUCCAAUGUUGUAUAUCUCGUUUCCGCUUAUUAAUACUAUAGAUGGUAUCUUGGAUUCUUGUAACUUGAAACUUACAUAGUAUGGAAUUUUCUAUCAAAACAAUUAACUUAUAAGAACAAAUAAUUUAUAAUAUCAACAAGAAUGGAACAAAUAGGUGACGUGCACUGAAAUUUUGAACAAUGGUGUUAUGUACUUUUCAAUCUUAAAAACACAUAUAUAUAAUAUAUCAAAAAUAAUUUUAAAUAUACAAAAAGAUACACCACUACCACCAUUACUACCACCAAGGACCAAAAACACACCAUGUGACGACCCCACAUUCCCCUAGGGCGUACCCCAGGGUUUAGCGGACUGCCUGUCCAACUCUCGCCAUGACUCACUCACUAUUUCGGAUAAUAUUAUUCACAACUUCUUAACGUAAAUAAAUCAACAGUUUAAAUACAUUCAUUUUUGUCUCAAACUUCCAUACAAUCCCAAAUACAUCAAAAGAUUGAGCGACUAGUGUGAGUAUAAUUACAAAAUUUUAAAAAACUAGACUACGUUAAUUUGUACAAGUCUCACGCCUAACUCGUACCUCCUGUAAGGAAACAAAACUAAUAGAGUGAGUUAAAACUCAGUGAAAUCCCAAAUAGCAAGUUGACCAAUAAGUACAAGUGACAAUAUCGUAAUAGUAAAGUAGCGAGCAUUAACAAAUCAAGAAAAUGAGUAAUAACACUUCGGAUGACCAAACAUUACAUAUUCAGCAUUUCAUGUAAAAAGAUACAGUUGCUCUUGUAAAUUAACUCCACCAUAGCUUAAUCAUAUAGUAGUUGACACUCCGUCAACUUUCAAAUAAGGUAACUAGUCCAGUAGUACACCACUUAACUCCAAUCUCCGUCCACCAACCAAAUCCCUUACCGGGCCCGAACUCCAAGAUAAACACUGGUGAUAAUACUCGAGUAUACCGAUUAGUCGACAAGAUAACACUUCACUCGACAAAAACUAAAGACUCAGGGUUCGUUAUCGAAUCAACCAAGCAUUUGCCGGCUCGACUCGAUUAACUAGCCACAGGGUUUCUGGAAUUCCAGACAAGAUACGAAUCAUAUGCAUAUACAUCAAAUCACUUUCGAUCAAUGAACAAGAAUAUGACACAUUAUGAUAAGUGCAAUAAAGUACACUCUUACACGAUCAAACCAAUCACAUAUCAUUCGAUCACAUUGGUCACGUUCAGGUAUUACUCCUGGUUUGGAGUCCAAAUUUGCGAUAAAACAUCAUUUAAGAGUUUUGAAAUCAACUAAAGUUCGAAACUUAAGCAUCUCGUUUAACGAAAAACAAGUAAUUGAAACUCAUUUGGUUUCAUGUUCUAGAAAACUCAUGUUCGCUCUUUUAGUUUUGGUAAUAAAAUGAGUAAAACUUUGAAAUUCUCAUUUGAGUCGAAAAAACGAGAAUAACGUAUUUUUAUUGGUCGUUACUUUGAUUUUUCCCAAUGGUACGACUUUCAACCAAAUUCUAGCUUAUAUAUCUCUACGAAAGUAGACUCGAAUACCCUAGAUAAAUCAAAUUCAAUUCGUCCUCAAAUCUUCGCCCAAGUCCCGGCUACACACGCCUAACCCUCGAGUGAAAAUUUGGGCGGCACGCCCUUUGUAUUUCGCUAUUUUUUAGCCAUUUAUAGUUUCAUUAUUUCCUCAAUUCAACCCCAACUUCACACAUAAAUAAUCUUAACACAAUAGCCCUUCAAAUAGGCUCAAUGUCAUACAAUUACAAGAUAAGUCUAACAAUGCGACCAAAAAUCAAUUUUAAAGGCAAAUAGCAAAACAGCAGAUUUGACGUCUUAUAGCAUUUUGGUUACAAAUGAAGCUACGCUUAUUAGAUUGGGGUACACUUUAUGCCGUUUCGAAGCUAAGACAGAGACCUACAAGUCUUAUGAAGACAUCGACAGCCAAUUCAUUUAUUUUCAAGAUCAAAAUGUGCAAUUUCAGAUAAAACAGAACACUGCUCGCGCAAAAAGGGCAUUUGGCAGUCAGGGAUAAUUCUGUCAUUUCGUAUGUUACAGUACUUCGAUUGAGUUGAAAUUUUACAGACAUCUAUAUAACUCUACUCCCUACAACUUUCAUGUUUUGACCUAGACCUGAUUCAGCCUCUAUCAUACUCAAAUAUACAGGUCAGAAAUAGGACAGAUUGGCCUACAAUUUCUGGAAUUUGAUGAUUCAAUGCUUGAAAAUCACAUUUAUAUCUUGAAUCACUACCCCAAAUCCCUAUCCAAACUCAUCAACAUCAUAUACUAGAUAACAACAAUAAUCACAAUUGAAAUAUCAAACCCUAACUAAACAUUCCACCAUGUCAUACAAAACUCAAUAAUUAACCGUCAUAAACCAAGAUUAAGAGUUUCUAUCCAAACUUUAGCAAGAUUAAGAAGAGAAAAAGAAAAAGCAGCCAAGAUACCUUCCAAAAAGUGCUUGUAGGUGAGAACCAUACCCCUUUCUUCCAUAACUGUUACCACACAAAACUUCCUAAGUACUAAAAUGAAAGUUUAAUAGGUUUGGAUUGGGUGAUUUCUCUCAAACUAAGAUGAUUCAAGGUGGAAGUUGGAGUUUUCUCACUUGGUUUUUUCUCUCCUCAAGUUCGGCCAAAAUGUGCAGAAAUGAAGAGGAAAUGAAGUGAAUUUGGUGAUAAAAAUGAAGAAAAUUGGUUGGUCAAACAACCCUUGGAUGGUUGCCACUUGUCACUCCAAGAUUAAGUCUUAAAGUUGUCUUCCUUUUCCUUUAUUUUUAGUCAACAAUUUCGGCCCUCUCAAGGCUGAUUAAGAGGUUGAUAUUUAUGAAAUAAUAACAAGGAUAUUAAGGUAACAAAGUGGUGUAUUCAAUCGGUAGCGAACGGUACACGUCGGUUCAAACCGAUUUUCCUUAAAUCGCGUGUACUAGGAUUUUAAUUUAUGAUUCACUCACUUAUGAUUAUUACUUCUAAACAUACAUUUUUUAUUAUCUAAAACUCACUCUUAAUCACCAAAUUGAAUACACACUCUAUACCGAUUAUUCACUCUACCAAAAGACGCAAAACCCUAAUUUACGAUAACAAGAAAACGAAAGAAAAAACACUUGAUUCUAUAUUUGAUUGCAAUUAUUGAGGAAGUGAAUGAGUAGUAAGGUUAUUAUAAAGGAAUAAAUUUCAAAUAAAAAGAAAUUUUAAGAAAAAUAUGACAGACUUUACAAGUCCUCACACAUCACCGCCCCUUCCCCCUCUCUCCUUCCUCCUCCUUCUUCCCUUCCCCUUUCUCUCAUCUCCCUCCCCUCCUAUCCUCCUUCCUUCCCAUGCCUCUUUUGCUGCCUCCCUCGUCCUCACAAUACCCUCUCCCAUUGCGACCAAAUUUGGUCAUGGGCGAGGACCAUUUUCUGGUCGUGACUCACGACUAGAGAGGGGGGAAAGGGAGAGGGGUAGCGGGAGAGGGUGGGAAGAAGGGAGUAAGAGAAGGGAGGGUUAGGGGAGGAGGAGGGAGGAGAGAGAAAAGAGAGGAAGAAAGAGAGGAGUAAGAGGAGGGAAUGAGGGAAAAGGAGGGAAGAGGAAAAAUGAGAGGGAGGAGGAGGGAAGGGAUGGUGGGGUAAUGGUGGAUGGUUGUAAGAUUUUAUAAAAUUUUAAAUAUAUUUCAAAAAUAUCAUUAAAAAUAUAUACAGUAAAAGUUUUUCAACUAUAUUAUUAUAAUAAAAUAUUUUCGUUUGAAUUAAUUGUUUUUGGGGUGUUUUUGAAAAAUUUUAUUAUAACAGAGUUUUUAGAGUAUAUUUUAGGAUAUUUUUAAAAAUUAUUUUGAAAUAUUUAAGAGUAGUAGAGUUUUUAAAAUAUAUUUUGAAAUAUUAAAAAAAUUUUAAACUAUUUUUUAGAGUAGCUUUUAGAGUACUUUUUAAAAAUUUUAAUAUUUAAAAAAUUAGUUUUUGAAAAAUUAAAGGAUCCAAACAUAGGGCCUGUUUGGAACCUGAGUUUUUUGGGAGUUUGUCUAAAACUUUAUUGUAAUGUACUGUAGAAGUUUUUGAAAAAAUUUUGUAGAAAUUUUUGUAAGGUGAAAAAUUUUAUAAAAGUUUUUGUAGGGUGAAAAUUUUUUUUUUCCUUUUCUGUUUUAUUUUCCUUUUCUGUUUUUUUCUUUCUUUCUUUCCUUUUUCUUUUCUUUCCUCUCUUCUUCUUCUUCCUUCCCCCUUUCCCUUCCCCGUUACCUCCGUCACCCCUAGCAGCAACUCCACAAAUGCCACCUCCCGCCACCCCUCUCCUCCCUCUGUCCCGCCACCCCCAUCUGCGCCUUCGCCCUCUACCCCGUCAUCUCCUCCCCCACCCCUGCAAAAGCUCCCCCGCCACCCCUCCCUCUCCCUCUCCCGCCACCCCUGCAAAAACUUCCCCGCCACCCCUCCCUCUCCCUUUCCCUCUGCCGCCACCUGAAUUUUGCAGCAAUAGAAAUGAUUUUUUUUUCAAUGUUCUAUCUCCCUCUCCUCUCCUUAUCUUGCCGGCAGAAUAAGCAGCAACAGCAGAGUGCGAUUUUUUUUUUGUUGCAAUUUUCCUUCUCCCCAAGCUGCGGGAGGGGGAAGAUGGUGGGGAAAGACAGAGGGAAAAAGGGGAGGGGGGAGGGAGAAAGAAAAAAAAAAGAAAAAAGAGAUUUUGGAAACCAACAUAUCGGUCAAAGGGGGAGGGGGGGAGGGAGGGGAGGGAGAGGAAAAAAAAAAAAAGAGGAAGGCCGGCAAAAGUUGGCCGGAAUAGUUACCGGCGCCGGAAGCGGUGGUGGAGGUGGUGGCCGGUUGGGUGGGAAGGAAAAAGAAGAAAAGUUGAAGGGAAAGUUUUUUGUGUAUUAUUUUGAAGUGUGUAAGUAAAAAAUUUUGAUAAAUUUUUUGGGGUUCCUGUACCAAAAGUUAUUAAAAUACUAGUAGCUAAAAAACUUGGUCAAAAACUUCACUUCCAAACAAGCCUAUAGAUACAGCUUAUUAAACGGGAGCAGAGUUUUUCGUUUGCUUUGUCCAAAUUGUUGCACCACUGCACCAACAGUGUAAGCAGCAGUGAUACCGUGUACGCACGCCUACAGGCUACUACGCUGGGAUUAAUAGCUGGUCCCACCGCUAAAACCCACGAAGGAGAAAGAAGUAACAUCAGAAUUCACCACCAAAGAAGAAGAAACUGAGAGAGAUAGACAGAGAGAGAGAGUGGGGAAAAUAUGCAUUCAAUCGGGUAUAGGGCCAAUGCGCUGCUUACGUUCGCCGUCACCAUUCUGGCGCUAAUGUGCGCUAUCGUCUCUCUCUCCGACAACCUCAACUCUCCCUCUCCCGCCGCCCAAGUUCAAGUAAUUGUGACUUACCAAAUCAUUCCGAUUUUUACUUCUACCUUUGCCCUUUUUUUUGGGGUAGAUCUGAUCUAUCCUGUAGUUAUUAGACUGCAAUUGAUAAUUUUUUUUCUCGAAUUUCACCGUUUCUGAUUAUCUGAUUAUUCUGUGGCGUUUUAGGUAUUGAAUAUUAAUUGGUUUCAGAAGAAACCCGACGGGGAUGACGAGGUAUUCUUCUUUGUAUUUUUCCCCCUCUCGUCUUGUUCUUCACCCUACAUAUGUGUUUCGCAAGUCAAUUGGGAAAAUCUAUUCUAUUCUUUUGAGUAUUUAGUUCUAAAUUUCUAGUCACCUAAUGACCUGAAUCUUUUCGAUUGCAUAAUUAAUUCUCGUAAAUAUACUUCGUUUGUUUAUUUGAGUGUCCAAUUUAGCUUGCAUUCUAUUCCCACCAUCAACUAGUUUUCUGAUUGAAUGGGUUUUUAAUUUUGGCUAGGGUUUUGGAGUACACUAAUUGAACGCUAUCUUAUCUUAGACGGCCUCUUUUCUCAGGGCAAUGAAUUUGUGGAACAUUUGAACUGGAUUUCAUGAACGUUUAAUCUAUAUCUUUAUUUAUCGAUAAACGUGGGGUGGGCAGGUUACAUUUGCAGACAAGCUUAUGAACCCAUAUAUUAUCUAAUGUUCGUUCUAUCUUUCAGCAAUACCCUAAGGUGAUCAUCUUGGAAAUGAUUGUUUCAUUUAAACCAAAUUGAUCACGUGUUAACCGUGAUCUCACUCGUCUUCCCUGUCCUCACUCCUAGCUCCUAUAAAUGCUUAACAGAGUUGUCUGUCAGGUUACAUACAAAUUUGAACCAAAAAGAAAAAAUUGUCGGGUUAUUUUUUCUGAUUACUUUCUUACGAUGAAAAGUUUUGUUUGCUACUAGCCAAUUUCACAAUUGAGUGACAGUUGCAUAGAUGACUAAAAUUUCUUUUCUGUCGGACAAAUUAAAUGGGCCACUAGUUUUGAGCCCUAUGAAAUAGAGAAUAGCAAAUGGAAUUAACAUUAUUGAUGACUGAUGGAAGUAAAAGAUAGAACAUCUUCAGUGUUGCCUGUCUCGUCAAGUAUCUGAUCUUGGGUGUAGCAUAAAUCUUAAGGAAGCUGUUGAGAUCAUUAACGGAACAAACUUAUAUGAAGGAAGGCAAUCCUUUAGGUUCCUGCUGUCUAAUGUGUUUGCACUUUCAUAUUCUGCAGGUCAGCUUGACAUUGAACAUCUCUUCAAAUUUACAGUCAUUGUUUACAUGGAAUACAAAGCAGGUUUGCCAGCUCUUUUUGCUGUAGAUCCAUAAUUUUAAUCUGGUGUUAGCAUCAUUGAGCCAACAAGCAUUAUUUCUCAACAUAUCUUGUGUCUUUUCUGCCUUUUUCAGUAUAUUAUAAGGGUUCUAAUUUUUGGAGGAGAAAAUAAUUUAGUGAGGAUUGUGCUUGAGGACUGCAAUAAGGUAUUUAUCAGGGGUAGAAAGGAUGGAUAGCCACAGUAGAAUGGGGGAAUAUUGACAAAAAAAAAAACUAAUUCUAGGAAUUUCUUUUAGUAAACUUAAUGGAUACCCACAAUGGUGGAUCUGACCCAACCUCAAAAGCACUCAAAAACCCUUCACAACUUUUAUCAAAUUCACAUAUCUCUAUUUGAAGGUGUACAUAUUUCUUAAAAUGUUUUCCGUUGUUGUCUAGAAUCUCCUCUUACUGUGAAAAGUUAGAUUUUCCAAAGCAUAAGAUGAUUCAUGCUGUGACUCUCAGACAAGGUACAACAUAGUUAGCACUGCAAUCAAACAGGUGCCUGUGCACUGAAUUCCUUAAAUAUGACUAAAAAAUGAUAAAGCUAAGUUUCUACUCAAAUAGACUUCAGCAUGGCCUCUUAAAUUAUGAUCAAGUGCACUGUGAGUUAGAUGCUUGAGCAAUUUUUGAAAAUCUUUAGUUUACGAUGAACUCUUUGCUGUUAGCAUCAUGGAUACUGAGUUAAGUUCCUGUUUCUUGUAUAUAUAUAUCAGGAUGGUGUUUUCACACUGCAGCUACAUGUGAUUUUUAUUGCCUAAAUAAAAAGAAACUUUAUUGUUUAUAUGCAGGUUUUUGUGUUUGUGGCAGCUGAAUAUGAAACUUCAAAAAAUGCAUUGAAUCAGGUACCCAUGUUUAUGUAUAUGUUAAGCAAAAUAGUACUGAUAUGUUUCUCUUGCGCUUGCAAUUUGGCAUCUGGAGUAUGCCUUGCAUGUUUGUAACAAAUUCGUGUAACAGUAAUAUCCAUGCAAAACUGGUUUUGGCAAUUUUGAAUGCCACAAAUGUGUGUUAUGAUCAUAAAGAUAAGUUAAUUUCUGGCUUCUUGCAUCUGUCAUAAUGCCAUUUAGUGCAUCUCCUCACCUAAUUCUUCUGCUUUAGUAAUCUUUUUGCUAUCUUCACUCUUUCCUGUGAGUAUUCUUUGUCUUACCCUAUAUCUAGCUUAAUGGGAUGAAACUACUGCUUCAUUGCUCGUCCAAGCAUUGUAUGUUCAACCUGAAAGCUUUAAAAGCUACCCCUUGUGACUCAUGGUGGUAGUUCUCUUUCAUGCUCUCUCAUGUUAUCUGCUUUGAGCUUAUUAGCACCAUAAAAAUAUUAAACUUUGAUUGUCUUAAUCGUUUUGCUGCAACCAUCAAAUCGAAAAUUUGCUACUGGUGAGUGAGUAUUCUGAUAUAGCCUCUUGUCCCGCUGCACCUUUUUCCUGAGUAUGAAUAAACCCAUCCACUUCCCCCAGGGCUCAAUGUAAACUUGUCUCAGUCAUCUCCACUGUUGUUUCUUGGAAACUGACAGGGUCUGGCCUUUGUGUUUUAACUAUUCUUGCUUAUAUGAAUCCUUUAACGGGCUUGGAAAUUUAUUUAUGUUGACCUUGUACUUAUCGGUCCUAAAUAAAUAUAUAUAUAUAUAUGAUGAAUGAUGAUGACUGAUUUAAAUGCUAUAACCGAAGGUAUCUUUGUGGGAUGGUAUCAUACCUUCCAAAGAGCAUGCAAAAUUCUGGAUUCAUACCACAAACAAGUAUCGUUUCGUUGAUCAGGUAUUGUUGUGCUACUUUUAUUGGAUAUUUGAGUUUAUUUCCCCGAUCAUUUGUUAGCUGAAUGUUUGUUCGUGUUUGUAUGUUUAGGGAAGCAAUCUCCGGGGUAGGGAUUUCAAUUUGACAUUGCAUUGGCAUGUGAUGCCAAAGACGGGCAAGAUGUUUGCUGACAAAAUUGUGAUGUCGGGGUACCGGUUGCCGGAGGCUUAUAGAUGAGGAGUGACUCCUAUUUGACUUGCUGUACCUUUAGCUCUCCCUUAUUGGGAGGUACAAGUGCCCAAAACAAAUCAACAAAGGGAAACAGUGUCGAUUUUGAACACAAAUCUUCUAGAAUUUGAUUCCAUCGAAACUGGAUUUUUAGACUUAAUUUGAUUUCUAUAGUCUUGUAAGCAACCCAAUUUAGGUCUUGUUAAUUGUUAAAGUAAAAAAAAUGGAAAAUGAAAAGUAAACAGUAACGCAAUGGGGAGAAUUAAAAUAAAAAAAGGAAUUGCUAGAACGCUAAGAUCAGUCUCUACACCGUAGCAACAAAGUAAAUAAAAUCUCGAAUUCCGAACAUUCGACUAGAGUUUAUUACCAUCUUACCAACAAAGCCAAAAAAAGAAAAAGAAAAAAAGAGUUCACCGCUUAGCAUGAAUGAGAUGCGAAUUACAUGACCCAAUAAAAGCCAAAUCUUGGAACGGUUACUAAAUAGCAAGGUUAAGCCAUAAAGAGCGAACGGCAUUUUAAAGUGGGGCUUGCGAAGUAAAGUAGUUACAAUUCAAGAAGGAAAAUCAUGCCGGAUGUAAACUAGUUUGCUCCUCGAUAGAGGAGAAAGGGUAUGAGUUAAUUUGGUUGCUUUGUUGCACUGUAAUUAUUUUCAUCUUGAAAAGCAUCUCAACUUUACAAGAAAAAGAAAAAAGCUCUUUAAUAGUGUUUGUAUCUUUGGCUCGGAUAUGAAACGUUAAAUCACUUAAAAUUAUUGAAUGAUUCACAAUAUUUUUUUUAAAGAAAAAAAAACUUGCGAUAAUCUACAAUCAUGAGAAUACCUUUUCGCACCAACUUAAAAAUAAUACAAACAAGGUUAUAUAUAAUUUUUUAGCAUGUUGUAUCUUUCCAGUAUUCACACCAUCGAUUUGGAAAAAAAAAUUGAAAAUUCAAAAAUAUGUAACUUAUUUAUAUAACUAAUUUAUAAAAUUUCUUAUAUUAACUCAAAACACUUUACAGUAAAUAAAAUAUUAUCUUUGUAACUUGCAAAAAUUUCAAAUAAAUUUUCAAAUAUGGUAUUUAAAAAACACACUAUAUUUUGUCCAAUUAAAAUAAACCUUCAUUUGUUUUUCAUUUGUUAUUAAUAUACUUACGUUUUAAAAUUAUGUUUAAAUUGGGUUGUAAAUGAAACAAAAAAAGUUAGAGUAAGAGUGGUAAGUGAGAUUUUGCAAAAUUUAAGAAUAACAAGCGAAACUUCAAAAACUUAAAAUUAUCCCAAAAUUUGGAAUAAAAGUUGACCACGGAAAGGUCAAAAAAAAAAGGUUUUGAAAAAGUGCCAAAAUCUUGAUUACUUAUGAGCGUUAAUCUAACUUUGUUGUGUUAUUUCCGGUAAUUUCGGUUGUUGAAAAAUAAAAGGGAAUGGGACUGGCCGACUGGGUAAAAUUUGAAAAUAAGAGUCACGAGUCGGAGGAGGAGUGGAGGACUGAUGCGGCAAGGCAAUAGUGAAAGAAAAAGAAAUACUACUACAAAAAGGGAAGGAGGGGCCCGGUAGAGUAUACUAUAAUAUACUAUAAGACAAGACAAACACUACAACCAAUAGAGAGCAAGGAACGACGGCGUAAGAAAGAGCGGAUAGUGCCUAGUGUCCGGUGGCUUGGGGGUUUUGACCGCCGUGGCGAGUCGCGAGAGGCAGAGGGAGUUUGGAGCGGGAACUCGAAAGGUUUCAUUCUUCAAUUGAAUCCUAUCAAUUCAAACUGUAUGCUGCUUUGCAGUAGUUGACGGGAACAGCAACAUAAUACUACUGCUAGUGAUAUCUGUACGAGUAAUUAGUAGAAGAGCGAAUUGAAUUGGUCCAAAUUUAGGCGCUGCCAUUGGCCGGAUUAGCAUCCCUCUCUGUGUAUAUAUAUAUAGUACAAGUAAGAGAGAGAGAGAGAGAGUGAGUGAGUGAGUGAGGGCAGCGCAGUGGGAGUGACGAAUUAAAUAACAUGAACAAGAAGAAGAAGAUAGGAGGAUUAAGAAGAUUGUUUGAGAUUAGUAUUGUUAUAAUUAUUGGGUGUAUAUGUGCGAUCACCAGAUCCGCUGCUGCUGCCGCCGCCAAGGACGACCAAUUCCUACUCCUCCUCGGAGUUUCCCCACAAGGUCCGCCGUCUUUUUCUUCAUCUGCCUCCUUUCCUUUUCCGCAAUUGAUUGAUUGAUUACUACUUCUCCGUCUGUGCUAGUACGCUAUCAUUUCCCGGCUCUCUCUGUGUGUGUAUAUAUAUAUAUAGUUAGUUAGGGCUGGAUGGUUGCCUCGCAGGCAUCAUGACUAGUAUUAUUAUUAUUAUUAUUUAUUCUGUGUAUGAAUGUGUGGAUGCGUGUGUUUGUUGCAGAUGAGGAUUAUUACAAGGGAUUGUUGUCUUCCCCUUCCUCUACCAUCAAAUGCAAAGACGGAUCCUUCAAAUUCUCCACCUCUCAGCUCAAUGACGAUUUCUGCGACUGUCCUGAUGCCUCCGACGAACCUGGUCUUUCUCUACUUGCCUUUCUUCUCCGUCACAUGUUCUACUGCAUUGUUCAUAUCUCACCCCUUAUUCCUUCCUUACUGCAUUUUCACAACUGUAGGUACAUCCGCUUGUCCGAACGGCAAAUUCUACUGUAAGAAUGCUGGACAUAUUCCUUUCUCUUUGUACUCUUCCAGAGUCAACGAUGGCAUCUGCGGUUAGUUGACUAUCUGUCUUUUCUUGUCCUUGUUUAUGCUGCACUAAUAUGAUUUUUCUACUUGUUAUAUUUGUUCCCAAGUGCAGUGUUGCACCCAAUCUUUUCUGUAAGUUGCAUGGUGGAUGAUGCCAUGUGAGAAAGGUCUCGUGGAUUUGGCAUGUAAAAAUCUCUAUAGUGCGUUCUUACCAGUCAUAGUCACUGCCAUAUGAUUGCUGUGCUACCUCAUUAUGCUUGCCUACGACUCUAUUAAAUUCCUUGUUUCAACUCCUAAUGAUUGCCACCUUUGAGCAGAUUGCUGUGACGGCAGUGAUGAGUAUGAUGGCAAAGUUAAGUGCCCAAACACUUGUUGGGAGGCUGGCAAAGUAGCUAGAGAAAGGUUGAAGACGAAGAUUGCUACCUAUCAGCAAGGUGUCACUGUACGUAACCGGCUAGUUGAACAAGCCAAAUUAGCAAUAGCCAAAGAGGAGGCCGAGUUAUCCAAACUAAAAAACGAAGAGAAGAUACUCAAGGGGCUGGUUGAACAACUUCAGGGUAUAUAUGCUCUCCUUUUCGCCUGAUACGCUUAUCAUCAUCCCAUCCACUUAUCCUUUCUUAUCAGUCACAUCCCCUAAUACUCAACCGAGUCUGUUAGUUACGUCCAUUUUUGUAGUUGAUCUCGUAAUUACUUGUUGAAGUCUUGAAACAUGAUUUAUUGAAUCAAGCAUGUCUUUAAGGAACCUGUAGCGUUUUCCCCUUUGAAGUUAAAGAGUGAUGGAUGUCGAACUUGAAAAUUUUUUCACUACAACCAAUUUGAUGAAGACCUCUCAGUUGAAACGAUUGACAUCAAAGCCUAAGAUUCUGGAUAUGCAUGGUUACUGGAUUUUUUUGUACGCUUGUUUAGCUGUAUGGCUUCUUUGUACAUUUGGACUUUUGAGCAACUCUUUUUGGGUUGAAUUCUGUCCUGCAUAAUAUUUUCAAGUAUUGUGAAUGAGAAAAAGAGCCCCUUGUCACUUAUUUCCUGAGAGGCAGAUGAAAUCACCUGUAUGCAUGUGGAAUUUUCAGUUAAGCUUCUAUCAUCUCACAAUUAAUGAUAACGAUACUUUAUAGAUUGCUUCUCACUGUUUUGGAGGACUAGCUUUGGAUUAUUUAGUUUUGCUUCUCUUCCUAUAGAGCGUAAAGAACAGAUAGAGAAGGCAGAGGAGAAGGAACGGUUACAAAAGGAAAAAGAGGACAAAGAAAGAAAAGAAGCUGAGGAGGCUAAUCUGAAAGAGAAACAAAAUGGCGAACAAGUUGAAAGUUCGGAAGCAGAUGCUCUAAAGAAUGACAUCCAUGAUAAGAUUGGCGAACAAGUUGAAAGUUCGGAGGCAGAUGCUCUAAAGAAUGACAUCCAUGAUAAGAUUGGCCUAUUGGGAGACUCUUCUUCAUCACAGGUCAUAAGGAACUACCUAUUGUGCUCUAAAUGGAAAAAUUAUGUUAGAUGGUGGAGAGAGAAACAUAAAUAAGUUCAUUAAUGAUUGACAGGCAUGAAAAACUACGUCAGGCAUGAAGUGGUAGACAUGAAUAACGUCAUGUCUAGAAGAUGAUGAUAAUGUACAAGUUAUAUGCUAGAUAUCUGUACCUUUGAACAGUUAUUCUCUUGGUGGAAUUAUUUUCUGCGAGGUUAUUAUUUCUCUGGGUGGUGAUAUCUUUGUUGCAAGUGCACUACUUUGUGUUGCAUAAUAAUGGCUGUGUUUUUAAAUGAGUGUUUGUUGUGGUCAUUACUUUGUGAGAAGUGAUGCUGUUUGUACUGCAUAUGAUGACUUGGAUAUUUGAAUGUUGUUUGUUGGAGAGUUUUUUGUAUCCCUGACAUUUUGGGCUUCUCAUAGGAUGUAAUGGAUGGCCAUGGAGAUUCUGAGAGUGAAGCUCAGCACGGUGAAUUUGAUGUGAAGGAAGAAUCUCCAAUUGGUGAUGUAAAACCGCUGCAAGAGGAUUCUUUGCUGGUAUAGUUUAUUCGAACAACAUAUUGCUUUAAGGGUUUCUGGAAACUUGAAUAUAUAGGGCUUGACUUUAUUCUGGAUGUGUACUUUCACAAUGUAUAGCAUGCCACAGAGAAAGAGGAACAGUUGACAGUUGAUGGUCAACCUGGUCUUGAUACUGGAAAUCAGGUAUGGCCACUGUGCUUGAGUUUUGCUCUUAUGAUUAUUCUUCAUUCAGAAAAUUAUUCUACCGAGAUACAUUUUCUUACCAUGUUCAAAAGGAGUGAAUUUUUCAAAAGGAGUGAAUUUUACUAUGGUUUUCAAAGCACCUUUAUUUUUCAGAGUUUUUGCUUGUUGUAAGAGGAAUUAGUAGAUUGUGUUCUUGCACAAUUUUUGAUCCUCCUCUUGCUGCAAACUGAAGCAUAGCAUUAUGACAUUCUUCAAUGUUGAUAAUAUUUAAACUUGAUGGUCCUUGUUGGAAAACCUGUAAAAAUGGAGCUGGCCACAUAUUUACCCUUUCAUUGGCUUUAAUUCUAACAUUUGGUACUCUUAAAGAAUUUAGGCCUUGUUUGGCACUUGAGUUUUUUGCCAAGUUUGUCUGCUACAAGUUUUUUAAAGACUCUAGCUACAGUAACCUUAAAAAACUUCUCAAAGAUUUUAAACUAUACACUUCAAAAUAUUAAAAAAUUUACACACUUCAAAAAUUUUUUAAAAAACUUCUACAGUAAAUUACAGCAAAGUUUUAGACAAACACCCAAAAAACUCACUCGCUUAAAAACGCUCAGGAUUAGCAACUACACUACAAUUUAGUCUCAGGAUCAUGUCCAGAUUAAUCUUUUGAUAAUGUUCUUGAACGACUUGAUUUUGCAAAUCCUGUUUGUUAAACCUCAACAGAUAGCCUUCAGCUGGUAGAUUUCCUUGUUCUAGACCAUGAAGAUGAUCCACUAGCUUGUCAUAGUAAUAUGAAGGGAGAUACUUCUGCAGAAACUUUUCUUUCAUCUCUUUCCAAGUAUUGAUAGAUCAUUUUGCCCUUCUUGUAUCUCCUUCCAAAGAAGCCACCGGUUUUAGCCAGCAUAAUUGGAUUUAUCUAUGCAAAUCUGAUUGUGUAACAUCUGACAAAUUAUGACAAUCAAUUUAACCAACAAGUGAUUGAGGCAACUGCUGAAUUAAAUACAAUUUUGGACACUGUUAGUACUUGGAAAGCCCAUGUUUAUGGCAUGUCUACAGCUCUACUACCUGACUGAUGUGGCAAACCUGAGUGGUUUUCUUGGAAGAAACUUGUGCAUAUUUCAGGCCUUGUAUGUGGAUAAGUUUGCCAAAAUGGGUGAAGACUAAGGAACACAAUGAGGGAACUUUUUGCAGCUUGUCUAUAAUUUCUUAAACAGUAGAAUUAGGGUUACGUGGGGCUGUUAUUUAGGUGCUUUAGGGUAAUGGAAUCAAGGUGAAAUUGUUAUGAACUUUAGGAAUCGGGCAUUACACAUUAAUCACAUGGUUCUACACAAAGCAUAUAAUCUAGAGAGAACCUUUUAAACAUGCAUUACUCAGAAGUGCAACUUGAGCUUAUGUAGACUUGUAGAAAUUCUAAUUCUACUGCCUAAAAGUACUAAUUACUUGACUCAGCCUUAUGCUUUGCAGUUUGUAUCAAUAACAACAUUUUCCCUGACUAAAGGUAAAAGAAAAGCUUUCGGUAAAGCAUUAGAUGAUGAACUGAAGCAAUUAUAACAUCCCAAACAGAUGAGAGGUUGUGAAUAUGGUACAUUCCAGUUGUAGUUUUGAACUUGAUGACUUCGUGAUUUUUGAGUAUUGAAGUUGACAUCGUUGUGAAUUUGGUACCUUGUGUAACUUGUGUGUACAAGCAGCAGAUUUGAACUGUGUGUGCAAAUUUCAGGCAGAAGUAGAAGAGGACAAUAGCGAAUCAUUAUCUAAGGAAGAGUUAGGUCGUCUUGUUGCCUCUCGUUGGACAGGAGAAAAGACUGAGCAGCAAACUGAAGAGGUUAGUUCUACUAAAGAUAAAAAUCAUGGAACAGAAGAGGAGGAUGCUUAUGGAGAAGAAUACAGCAGUUAUGAUUCAGAGGAGGAUGAUCAUAGGUAUGAUAAUGAUGAUGGUGAUAAUGAAGACCAGAUGGAUGAUUUUGGGGGUGAGGAUCAUGAUGAUUCAAGCCCUUCAUAUAAAUCUGAGACAGAUGAUGAACCGGACUUACCAGGUUUAUAGAUACUCCUUUCAUUUUUCACUUAGCAAGUAAAAUAUGUCAGUUAUGUUUCUAAUUGCAGCUGGCACUAGAGUUACCUUAUAUAGGUUACAUUAACUCAAACCUGAUUGAAAAUUACAGCAGAACCAUCAUGGUUGGAGAAGAUACAAAAGUCUGUACGUAGAAUUUUUCAGGCUGUUACCUUUUUUCAAACUCCAGUUGACAAAUCUGGUAAGUUGUGCUCUUUUUGCAUUUUUUGUACUCUUGUGGAUAAAGGAAAUGGAAACUAUAUUGCUGUAUUUUGCUUUACAGAGGCUGCACGUGUUCGCAAAGAAUAUGAUGAAUCUAGUGCAAAGCUCUCUAAAUUACAGUCAAGGAUAUCAAGUUUGAAGCAAAAGCUAAAACAUGAUUUUGGUAGGUCUGCUAUAAAAAUUCCAAAUACGGGUUAAUGUUUGCUUUCUUGUAGUGCUAACAAAACACGUUACUUUGCUGUCAAUUAUUUCAUCUUCGUAAGAGAGGUGUAUGUGCAUUCAUUGUCGAAGGGGCUGACUUUUGAAUUCUUUUUUGCAGGGCCAGAGAAAGAGUUCUAUUCAUUUUAUGGUCAAUGUUUUGAGAACAAGCAAAACAAGUAAUCUUCUUUUUUACUUCUUAGCUUAACUCAUGUCACUCUAUUCUAACUUUUGGGCUUCGAUAACAUAUGGCUUUAGGUACGUCUACAAAAUCUGCCCUUUUAAACAAGCAUCACAGGUGGAGGGUCACAGCACAACUCGUUUGGGGUAAUUAUUUUCCCAUAUGUAGAACUUUCAUACAGUCUCUCACUCAGUCAGUCAAUGAUUAUCCUUCUCUCUGUGUGUACAUGUUUGGUGAAUGUGCCAUAUUUAGGAUGGUAAUCUCUUAUUGAAGCUGUUGGCAGAACAUUUUGACUAAACUGGAUGACGACAUUAAUUACAUUGGUUGCAGAUGGCUCUUAAGUUGUGUUAUAAGUAAAUGGACCGAGGAGUUGUUGAAGUUUAUCUUGUAGAAUGUUAUCUUAGAACAUACAUACUUCAGAGGCUCAUUUGGUCUAGCCCAUCUUUCUACCCAUUAGAAAGUUUGCGUGAUGAAUAGUUACUACUGUUGUCUGUUAGUAAAUGGGCUGAGUUUUUAUUUGUUUUUUAUUGAUUUAUUUUUUUACUAUCGUUUUUGUGUGGAAUGAUAUGCAUCUCAUGUCACGAAUUACAUAUCAAAUCCUGCUGUGCCUUAUUUGGUUCUUUAGGAAUCUGGGCUUCAAAAGCCCUCUGAAUAUUCAAAAUGGGGAAUGUAGCAUUAAUGUUCUAUAAAUGUAACUCCCAUUUUUAGGUGGUGUCUGUUUCCUCUUGUAGAGGAUGUAACAAAAAGACAUAUGUGGCGAAGCAGCAGAAAACUUCUCAUAAUAUCUAUUCCAGAUAAUUUAUACAGUCAACUAGGAGCUAAGGAAAAUCUAAAGCAAAGAUUUUCAUGAAUUUUACCUAGAUUUAAUUAGGCACCCUUCGACGAUUACAACCUAUUGGCAGGUGACAUGUUAAUUAAGUAUUAUUCUUGUUGGAAACUUGUCCUUGGAGUUUUAGUAUUUAAGAGUUUUAGGUCUUGGGAUAUUUUGGUCCUUUACUUGUAUACAAGAAAGUCUCAAUAAUCUUGUUGUCCAGUUUUAUUGAGUGAUUUGUGUAAAGAGGUAUCUUGGGAGGAAAACAUCUAGUCACCGUAUUAUGAGUGACCAACUAAUAUUUAUAGGAGUACAAACCUAACGGACUGUUUACAAGAAUACCCUUACUAAUAUAUUAUCUACAAGAAUACUAAUAUUCUCCUAACACUCCCCCUCAAGUUGGAGCAUAUAUAUCAUAAGCACCCAACUUGUUACAAAGGUAUUUCACCCUAGAGCCCCCUAAACUCUUGGUAAACAAAUCAGCCAAUUGAUCUGCAGACGGUACAUGAGAUGUCUUGAUGAUUCCAUCAAGUAAUUUCUCUCGAAUGAAAUGACAAUCAACUUCAAUAUGUUUUGUCCUUUCAUGAAACACUGGAUUAGACGCAAUAUGGACAGCCGCCUGAUUAUCACACACUAAAUUCAUAGGCUGUUUAUACUCAAACCCAAUUUCAACUAACAUGCUUUUCAACCAAACCAACUCACACACAGUGUGAGCCAUAGCACGGUAUUCAGAUUCUGCACUUGAUCUGGAGACAACUGUUUGCUUCUUACUCUUCCACGACACUAAAUUACCACCAACAAACACACAAUAUCCUGUGGUCGAUCUUCGAUCUGAGGCAGAACCGGCCCAAUCUGCAUCACUAUAUCCUUCAAUAUCAGUGUGUCCAUGAUUUUGAUAUAGCAACCCUUUUCCAGGAGCACCCUUAAGAUACCUGAGAAUUCGUAUAACAGCAUCCCAAUGACUAGUACGAGGAGUAUCAAGAAAUUGACUCACAACACUCACUGCAAAUGAAAUGUCAGGUCUCGUUACAGUGAGAUAAUUUAACUUACCCACAAGUUUUCGAUAUUGCUUAGGAUCAUCAAGUAAUGCUCCUUGAUCUCUUGCUAAUUUCACAUUGGGAUCCAUAGGAGUAUCCACAGGUCGGCAACCUAACAUCCCAACUUCACUCAACAUAUCGAGUACAUAUUUCCUUUGACAUAAAUAAAUCCCAUAUUUAGACCGAGCUACCUCAAUACCCAGAAAAUACUGUAAAUGACCUAAAUCCUUUGUCUGAAAGUUUGCCUGCAGAUUGGAUUUAAGUUUCUGGAUCCCCACAACAUCAUCACCUGUAAUCACAAUAUCAUCCACAUAAACAACUAAUAAAAUUUUACCAGCAUUAGAAUGCCCAUAAAAUACAGAGUGGUCUACUCCACAUCUCGUCAGACCGAACUCCAUGACCACACUACUAAACCGGCCAAACCAAGCCCUUGGAGACUGUUUCAAUCCAUAUAAGGAUUUUUUCAAACAACAAACCAACUGCGAAUUCUCCCCCUGAACAACAAAUCCAGGAGGUUGUUCCAUAUAUACCUCUUCUUCCAAAUCUCCAUGCAGAAAUGCAUUUUUCACAUCCAACUGAUGCAAUGGCCAAUUGUAAGUUGCUGCCAAAGAGAUAAGAAGGCGAACCGAGGUAAUCUUUGCAACAGGAGAAAAUGUUUCUAAGUAGUCUACUCCAUACACCUGAGUAAAUCCUCGAGCUACCAGACGAGCCUUCAAUCUAUCAAUAGAACCAUUAGGCUGCACCUUUAUAGUGUACACCCAUUUACAACCAACAACAGGCUUACCUGAAGGACGAGGGACAAGAUCCCAAGUACCAUUUUUCUCCAAAGCAAGCAUCUCUUCCUGCAUAGCUAACCUCCAACCAGGAUCAUUGAGAGCAUGGGUAAUAGACUUAGGAAUGGAUACCGAAUCAAGAGAUGCAACAAAAGAAGAAUAUGACAGAGAGAGACGAGAAUAAGAGACAAAAUUAGAAAUAGGAUGAGAAGUACAAUGUCUCUUACCUUUACGUAAAGCAAUAGGAAGAUCUGACUCACAAGAGGGCGUCAUACCUGGAUCUGAAGAUUGAGAGUUAAUUGGUGAAGUGCGUAGCAUAUCAGGAGCUUUCUCAACCAUGGAACGACGAGAAUAAACUUGAAGAUUAGGAUGAGAUAAUCGAGUGGUGGAAUCUGGUGAACCCGAUAACUCAGGUAAUAAAGAUGAAGGGACUGGUAAAACAGGAGGAGAAAAAGAGGAACACUGGUCUAACUCACAAGACAUACCUUGCUUCAUAAAAUAAGGAGUGGAUUCAAAGAAAGUAACAUCAGCACAAGUGAAAAAACGAUUUAAAACUGGACUGUAACAUCUAUACCCCUUUUGCGCUCGUGCGUAUCCUAAGAAAAUACACUUAAUGGCACGAGAAUCUAAUUUAUCCACCCCGGGAGCAAGCUGAUGAACAAAACACACACAACCAAAAAUACGAGGAGGUAAUUUAAAUAUAGGGUCCUGAGGAAAAAGAAUGGAGUGAGGUAGUUGGCCUCCAAGAAUAUCGGAUGGCAUGCGAUUAAUUAAAUAACAUGCAGUUAAAACUGCAUCACUCCAAAAUUGUUUGGGUACAUUCAUGUGCAACAAAAGUGUCCGAGCAACUUCGAUUAAAUGUCCAAUUUUUCUUUCAGCAACUCCAUUCUGUUGUGGAGUGUGAGGACAAGAGGACUGAUGAAGAAUACCGGACUUAGUCAUAAAGGUAUCAAAAGGAGUGGAAAAAUAUUCUUUCGCAUUAUCACUGCGAAGUAUACGUACAGGCACACCAAAUUGAGUCUUUAUUUCUGUAACAAAUGCACAAAAAAUGGAAUAUAAUUCUGAACGAUCUUUCAUUAAAUAAAGCCAUGUAACUCUGGAAAAAUCAUCAACAAAGAUUACAAAAUAUUUAAAACCUAACUUUGAAGUUACUCGACUAGGACCCCAAACAUCAGAAUGAACUAACAAAAAGGGUUCCGAAACCCGUUUAUUGACCCUAGGGACAAAAGAAACACGAUGAUGCUUUCCUAAUUGACAAGACUCACAUUCUAAUGAAGACAACUGACUCAAGGUAGGGACCAACUUCUUCAAAUUUUGUAGAGACGGAUGACCCAAACGACAGUGAAUUUCAAGAGGAGAAACAGUAGCAGGGCACGCAAUCGGACCAUUAGAGUUGAGAAAGUAAAGACCAUUAUGCUCAUGUCCUCCACCAAUCGUCCUCUUUGUCUUCAAAUCCUGAAUGACAACAAAAUCAGGAGAAAAAAUAACUGAACACUGUAGAGAUUUAGUAAGCUUACUAACGGACAUUAGAUUAAAAGGCAAACUGGGAACGUAAAGAACAGAAGGCAGCGGAAGAGAUGAGUUAAUUUCUACAGUGCCUAGUCCUUUAACUUUAGUUGUAGAUCCAUCAGCUAAAGUAACAUGAGGGAAGGAAGUAGACUCUUGAAAAUUAGAAAAAUUUCUAGAGGUACCUGACAUAUGAUCAGUAGUUCCGGAAUCAAUGAUCCAUGAGUCAAAAUUAGAUGAUGUGGAGAGACAAGCCAUAGCAUUACCUUUUUGUGCUACAGAAGUAGAGGGAAGAGAUGCGUGAUUUGCAGUUUGGUACUGCAGAAAUUUGAUAUAAUCUUCCUCAGAUAUGGUAACAGUCUUCUGAGACCCUUGUGCUAAAGAACUUGAUUCAGUUUGAUCAGUGGUAACCGUAUUAACAAACCGAGGUGGUUUUCCAUUUAAAUCCCAACAAGUAUCACGAGUGUGAUUCUUUAAACCACAAUGAUUGCACUCACGGGUGCCUCGACCUCCACGACCCCCACGACCUCUACUUCUUCCUCCACGAGAGCCACGUCCAAAAUUAAGUUGCUCUGUCCGAUUAUUGUUAGCAAUUAAAGCAGAUUUGUCAUUAAUUAAAGCACCAUCACCCUGUGCAUUGUCCUUAGAUGCAGAACGUAAGACCCGAGCAUACGCCUCUGCAAAGGAUGGUAAUUGUUCACCUGCUAAAAUUUGAGAUUUGAUUGGUUCAAAUUCCGGCUUGAGACCAGCCAGGAAUUUGAGCACAAGCAUUUGUUCUCUUUGCCUCUGCAUAACCUUGAUAUCACUUGAGAGAGGCAUUACAGCAUUUAAUUCCUCUGAGACUCGCUUAAGAUCAGCAAAGUAUUCAGUUACUGUCUUGUUAUCUUGUUGCAACUGAAAAUACUCCAAAGAAAUAUCAAACAUCCGUGAGAGAUUACUGCAAUAUAAUAACCGGACAUAAUCCCAAACUUCUUUUGUUGUCUCACAAUGAGAACACAUGUAAGCAAUUCGUGGCUCCAUAGAAUUCCAUAUUGCUCCAAGAAUUUGGGCAUCCUCUUGAAUCCACAUUAGUUUCUUGCUAUCCUCCGUAGGAGAGUCAUCUGUGAGAUAACGUUGCUUUCCUAAGCCUGUCAGAUAAAUCUUAACAGCUUUUGACCACUGUUGAUAAUUGGUAUCAUUCAACUUCCAAUUUGUGAUUUGAGGCAUCACCAUUGGCAUAAUAUUAGUGGACGUCACAAUACUUUUUGAUAAACUUUCAGCCAUAGCGAAUAGCACUUCAAACCCAAGAAAGGGUCAAAACUCGAGACGCGUGAACAGUACGCGUGAACAGUGCCCCGUGAACAGUGCCGCGAUGAACAGUGCCGCGAUGAACAGUCUUUGCUAGAUGUUUAACCUAAACCCUAGGACUCUUGCUCUGAUACCAUGUAAAGAGGUAUCUUGGGAGGAAAACAUCUAGUCACCGUAUUAUGAGUGACCAACUAAUAUUUAUAGGAGUACAAACCUAACGGACUGUUUACAAGAAUACCCUUACUAAUAUAUUAUCUACAAGAAUACUAAUAUUCUCCUAACAAUUUGAUUGGAGUCGUGGUUCUUAUAGGCAAGCUCUACAUUCAUAAUAGGAAAUGGGAAUUGUAUUCGAAAUAGAAUUCUAUCUUUCAAGUCUAUAGCCGUUAAAUUCUCUUGUUACUGGGUUAUUUUACGUGGAAAUUGAUAAAUAAGAUGGAGUCGUUUGUUUGUUAGAUUUGCUCUUCUUACCCCCCCUCGUUACUGUUCAUAGAGACUAUUCACAGCUUUACAACAGCCCCAAGAUCCUCUCAUUCCUCCACUUAGACCUAGUAGGUGUGAUCGCCCCUACUAGGUCUAAGUUUUAAGCUGUGAAUAAUCAGAUGCAAUUUGAGGAAAAAAAAUGAGUUGGUUUUGGUACUCUUCCAUUCCAUUGAUACUUUUUGACUUCUCUUUUUGGUUUGUCUCAGAAUAUGUGUCACUUACCUCAAAUGGCACAAAACUUUUCAGCCCAUUUAUAAAUUUACCCUCCAUUUUGUCAAAUGAAAUAAACUUGUACAGGCCCAAUAAGUCAAAUAUUAUGCAUAUGAGCAUUAAAUUCACUAGCUUAUGCACAAAUCAAUAAAACGAGGCAUUAUUUGAAUACAACCAUGAUCUUUUGAGCUCAAGUUCAUCAGCCAAGGAAAUGAAGUUCGACCUUGCAAACAUAUCCCACCAAGAUUUUGAAGGGUAGAGAUAUAUAUAAACAGCAGAAGUAGCUUAGUUAUCUGCACUAUUCAUAAAAUUCACGCUCCCCCAAAAUUAAACUGAGACAAGGGAAUAUUUCUCAUAGCCAUAUGCUGCUCCUUAAGUCCCAUACCCAUAACUUAAGAGAUUCUGGUAGAAAACAAAUUAAAACGGAUGGACACGGGUGGUGAUGGUCACUAGUUUCUUUCUUGUUCUGUUAGAUGUUGUCCUUCACAGUAAAUGAAUGCAUAUACUUGGAAGCCUCAUUCUGUUAGGUUCACAGUUUAACUGAUUCAAAGGAAUACGUUGAAUUUGGUCUUGAUACCUCCAUGUAGACUGUGGCAGUUUUUUGAGGGAAGUCAUUUCUCCUUUGGUGAUUAUGUAAGUUGAUUGUUGUUCGGUCAUUUGCACCCCUAUGCAGCAACAAAAGCAAGACGAAAAUAUGUGGCUUACCAUGGAUAAAACUUAAAGAAGACAAAAAUAUCUGUUUGAUAUGGAUAAGACUUGAAAAGAAAAAAGUGAAGAUACUUCUCUUGACAUAGAUGAAAUUUAGCAAAUAAACAUACGAAGCUUGAAAGACAUACUCUAUUUAUUUAUUUAUUUUAUUGAUUUACAAAUCUGGGUUAGUUUUGAUCACAAUAAUUUUAGAGUGGAUUUUCUGCUUAGGUUCAUUUCACUGUCAAAACCCUGUAAUGGUAGCACUUGAGUUAAGAUUGUGGGGAAUCAAAUUGAACAAGAUGAGGAUUUUGUCGAGUAUUUUUGACCUCAUUGAGGAUGGCAUUGGUAUAUUUGGUAUCACUACCAUGAUGUUAGUUAAAGAAUCUACCAUCGGUUUUGUCUUAUCCUAAUGCUUUAUCAUGGGUAAAUUUUCAGCUCUAGCAUUUUUUGGACUACUUUUGCAGGAGUUGGGAAAAGUUUGAGGAUUCAUACAAGGUCAUGCAAUUUUUAAAUGGUGAUAAAUGCUGGAAUGGGCCAGAUAGAAGUUUAAAGGCAAGUAUUUUGUUGGUAAUUGUAAUAGACUUCUCUUGGGAUGAUCAACUUCUGCAAGACUGGUAACCUUGCAUAUGUAAAAGUUUGUUCAUCUUUCUGAGCUAACUGCAUGGUUUUCUUCAUUUUGUUUUAUUUUGUGUUACCUUUGUCUUACAGGUCAAACUAAGAUGUGGUUUAAACAAUGAAGUUACUGAUGUGGAUGAACCAAGCCGCUGCGAGUAAGAAUAUCUGUUAUUUUAAUUGUUCAUUUAAGCUGUUUAUCCUGUUGUUGAAGUGCUUUCCAUUUGCCUUGUUUGGAAUCCAUCGCCCUUGUAUCUGAUUUAUAGUCUAAAACAGGUACAUGGCUUUGGUGUCUACUCCGGCUCUUUGUGUAGAAGAAAAACUUAAGGUGCCCUUUCAUUUGUUUUGUUUCUCGUUAGUUUUUUCGCAUUUAAUUAAUGCUAUAUUGCUAAUUUUGAGAAAGUGGUAACCCUUUUUUUUUUUUUGGUCAAUUGUGAUAGGAACUACAAGAUAAACUAGACAUGAUGAACAAGGAACAACCAACAAGUCAUGAUGAACUCUGAACCGUCUGCAUGAUAUUUUUGCUAAUACUGGACGUUCAUAAAUUUUGCUGAUACGAGAACUUUUGCUUCCUAUCUGAAGUAAUUACUCCUCUUUGGAAAUAAUUAUUUUGGUUGGUCUGGAGGGACAUGAUAUCACUGAAUUGCAGGUUUCCGGGGAAACAAAUUCCCAAGCAAAGAUUUGAAGUGGGCUUUUGUUUUUUUCGGUGGCGAUGCAGCUCCUUUUCAAACUAGACAGGUCUUUAUUUUGAGAAUAUGAACUGAGGCUAUAAACAGGAGGAGGAAAUAGAGUAGGUUGAAUAUUGUAGCAGUUUCGUAUAUCCAUGUCUCAAUCUUGUCUUUCAAGAUUGACCUAGAAGAAAAAUAUCAGGAUGAAAAUGUCUCUAGAUUGGGUUAUGGAACUGUUAAUGAUUUGAACAUUGGAUGCAUUAAGAAGAUUAUAGUUUCGUAUUGGGGGUUGAAACGAGACAAUUUUACAAGUGCAUCUUAAGUUGCUAAUGAUGUCCACAAAUCCAAUAUCUGAAUGAGAAACAGAUGAUUGUGGAGUUUGUGUGGACAUCUUUAGGCUGACUCAGAUUGUAUCACGUGCAUUAAUAUCCUUAACUUAUGGAAUGGGAUAUUUUUAGGAGUUAGUAUCACGUGCAUCAAUACACUAGUAGGCGAUUACAUUACAUUUUUAGGUAUUUUUAGAAUGGGAUGGUGAAUCAUCAUGCGAUGAAACUGCAUUGGUAGAAGCAUUUGAAGGGCUAACUAAUGAUCAAAGGGCGUAUUCAUGUUCUAUGCCAAUGAGGUUCUUGGAGACGAGAUGUUGGUUGGAUCUGUUUUUCCGUCUCUUGUAGUCAGUCAGUCUGGGGCUCGGGCAAGUGUUUGUUUUCCAGGGUGCGGCCAUCUUAAAUUCUUAUUUAGUAUCAAACAGGAGGAAUUGGAAAGCGAAUCAAUUUUAAUAAAAAGGUGUUGUGCGAGUCCAGACGCCGUCUCUUAUUUAGUAUCAAAUGGAUGUACGCUCGGCAACCCUCACUUUAGGUCCUGUUCGGACCGCAAAAAAAUGCGCAAAAAAAGAAGUGCGGGGAAGCACUUUAAGUGUCAAUUUUCUUAUCAUCUAAUCUUAUAUAUUCUCCCAUUUUCUUGAUGGGAGCCUCAUCAUCCGCUGCUUUCUAUGGGAUUGAUGGAUGAUUAGUAUUAUAAUUGGUAGUAGGGUAGUAAGAAAGGAAUUGGAAUAUAUGUUGCUUAGGGAAUCAUGGAGGAAUAAAAGAACCACUAGUACACAACAGGAGGAGUGGGGCAGGGACAUUUAGAGUUCCCUCCCAUGUGAUGUAGAAUACAUUUUAUUCUACUGCUAUUCCUACUUUAUAUUAGGGGAGAAGGUAUUUACAAGGAUCAAGUGGAAACCGACGGGAACCACUCUAUACUGGGGGAGUGGGGGAUUUAAAAGGGUCAAGUGAAAAUUCGACGGAACUAAACCACCAUCAAUUCAAAUUGGUGUCUAUACAUCUGCUGACAAAAUAUUUUAGAAAACACUUGAUCUAUGUUCAAGUAGAAUCUUAAAAUUUGCUUAAUAGUCAUGGCUAUUACUACUGUAUUCGCGGAUGGAUGGAUGGAAAAGUGUUGCCUUUGAGGAGUUGGGGGAGUGGGGGAAAUUAGGCUAAGAGAUAAUAGAUAAAGGACAUUAAUAUUCGCACUCUUCAUUUAAUUUCAUUUACUUCAAUUCACUAAUUAAAGACAGCUUCUAAAAAAAUGCUACAGGCUAAUUCAAGAAGACAAUUGUUUGUUUGUUGGGUUCCUUGACCUUCCUUCAUCCCUGGGAUCGAGUGGUCCAUCGUACUAUUAACUGUCUUCGUUCCCUGUCUUUUACCUCCUGCGUCAUCACCCCACUUGAAUAUCUAUCUUUCCAUUUCACCAAUUUCAGACGGCGGUUAACAGUGCCGUGUGUGCGGGGGCGAUUUCGGUUUCCAAUUAUCGUUAUUAUAUUAUCAUAGCUAUUGCUGCUGCUUCAUUUUUCCUUCUUUUUCUCAUUUGAUCACCACCCACCAUCAUCAGAAUCUCUCCCGUUGAAAACUCAUACAAUACAAUACAAUACUCCUCUCUUAUACCAUUACUAUUUAGGGACGGACGACGGACGGACCCCAACCAUGGAUAACCACCACAAUGGAGGAGGAGGAGCUGUUACCGCCGCUGACCGCAUGCCUAAAACCAAGAUCGUCUGCAUUCUGGGUCCCGCUUCCCGCUCCGUUCCCAUGAUCGAAAAGCUCCUUCUCGCCGGCAUGAACGUCGCCCGCUUCAAUUUCUCCCAUGAAUCCCACGACUACCAUCAGGAGACCCUCGACAAUCUCCGUUCCGCCAUGGACAACACUGGCAUCCUCUGUGCCAUCAUGCUCGACACCAAGGUUCAUCCCUCCCUCCCUCCUUCCCCUUUCUCCCUUCCUUUAAAAAAAAAAAAAAAAAAAAAAACUGUGUCUACACACACACACCCACACAAGCUCUACAAGUAUGUACGGCAAAAAAAAAAAGAAAAUUGUUGGUCCCUGUAACCUUGUCCAAUAGAAAACAAAAGAAUUAUUGUAUCAUUUUUAUCUCAUGUACAUGUGCAUUUUUUUUCCCUCUAUCUCUCUCUUUUGAAUAAAUUAACAACUGCAAGUAGAGUUAGAUUUAAUGUUGAACGGAUUUUGUUCCAUAUGAUAUAAUCCACAAGUUUGGGAAGAUAAAUAUGAUAUUUCUAGUCUUUCAUAAACUGAAACAAGAAAAAUAAAAAACGUGCGAAAGAACUGUGAGCAGGUCACAAAAAUCAAUUAGUGUUUUUUUUUUGUUUGGAAAACUAUAAACAUUACUUAAAUCGUUUUCUUUGUGAAGAGUUGUUACGUUACGUGCUGAGAAAAGAAAUAAAUGCGAAUUGAACUCUUGGACUGGUCGGACCAUUAAUUAAUGGCUAUAUAACUUCAACCAUAAGACUUUGACCUUGGUUUUUGUCCAAAUGCACGGUUUUGGUUUCACUUCUAAAAUGUCUUUGCGUCCUUUUGAUGAAAGUGAAAUCAGUCGCCCUCCUUCAUUGAUUAUUCCGGUUUUAUACGAUCCAGAGUUCGCCAACAAUUUUGAUUAACCGAUGCAACUGUUUCCAAACUUAAAAAUUUUCAAAACAUUUUGCGUUAAACUACAAAUCAUCUAUAUACUUUUCAUUGCCUAUUGACGUUAAAGAGAGCUCUUUUCAAAAAUUUAGUUUUGGCAACUUUAUUUAUGGUAAUUUCUAAUCCACUGGAUACGGGGGGAAUGAUAUUUAGGCGCUAUUAAAGCUUCUUCCACGUAUCUAUUAUGUAUUUAUUUGGUAGUAUUUAAGGUUGUUAUUUUUAACAUAAAAAACAAUUCCGAGUGUGUCGGAGGAAACCCUGUGAAGUGAACAAGUACCUUUAUCGGUUAAAUGUACAAAAAAUUAUGAAAAAUAGACUGUGAAACCGACAUGCUCAAUAAAAGCAUAAUAUAUAUAUGUGUGUGUAUUGGACAAUACUUUAGUAACGAUAGUUAUGGUAACGAAAUAGUUUUUACCUAAUAUAACAGGUUGUUGCACUUUUGAUGACUAUUUGAUUUCUUGUUGGAUCUAUCCACUUAAAUAGAAUAACACCUAAAAAUAUGGAAGUAAGUUUUUCAUCUAAAAUAGUAAGUUAACCUUAAUAGAUUAUUAACUUUUAUACCUCAAAUGGUAAAUUAGAAUAAAUAGUAAACUUACUUUUUAAAUAAAUAAAUUACUACUUUAUAUCCCAAACUUACUUUUUAGAGAGUAAGUUUAGUUCAAAUAAUAGUAAGUUUUUAUACAUAAAUAGUAAUUCUUACUAAUAACAUGGUAAAUUUGAUUAAGGAUCAAAAUUUACUUUUUUUUUGGAAUACAUGUACAAUUUUACAUUAAAACCUUAUCUCAAACUAGUAUUAGGAAGUUUAUUUGAAAUAAUGAUAAGAUGUUUUAUUAAUGAUUAAAACUUAGUACCUUAGUUAGUAAGUACUCAUAAUAUACCUGUAUAAUAAAUGAUUAUGGGUAUAAUUUAAAAUUUUUUUGUAUUUAUAUAUUUUAAAAUACUAUGAAAAGUAGUUUCACUUUUCAGAUAACCUUGUAAAAUAUGUAAUAAAAUUUUGUCAUAUUAUAAGUUUUUAAUAAUUUUCAAUUUUUGAACAGUUUGAAAGUUUGGAUAACAAUAACAACAAAUCUUCCUAGCUAUAUAUAGAAUAUCACUUGUUUCUAUAUCACAAUUAUUAUAAUUUAACACCUAUGAAUAUAAUAAGAUAAUAAAGUUUUAAUAAAUUUAUAUCUGGGACACAAGAAUUAAUAAGAGUUAAAGCCCAAACAAAAUGAGAAAUAGUAUAUCAAUAAAAAUGACAAAAUUAGUAUAACGGUUAAUAUAAGAAAAUCAAUAUGAUCUGGACUUUUUUCCUUGGAAGAUUGUUCAUAAAAAUGAGAUUCAGCAAUUAAAUGAAAAUCACUUGCACAUAUAAUCUAUUGUAUAAUUUAAAUUAAAUUCAGUUCACGUAUAAAAUGGUUCUAAAAUAAUUAGGGCACUAUGAUACAAUGUUAUUUUAAUAACAAAUUUUUUUUUACUGAAAGUCUCAAAUAUCCAUGCCAUACAUAUGAGAGAUAUUUUACCAUAUUUGUGUCUAACUGUAAGCACAAAUUUCGUUGCCAAAAAUAAAAGACAUGAAAACUUGCACAAAUAUCAAAUUUAUUAAAUCAAAUAAUAAGAGAGUUACAAUCUCUAAAAAUUCUUGAAUCAAAGAAAUUAAUCCCCUAAUUCUUCUCUUAAAAAGCACUCCUAAUUAAAGCAUAAUAAAAUCAAGUUUUUUUUAACCUUUAAUGUAGUAGUUAUGUUUACUAAAAAAAUUAGUAAACCAUUCCUACAAUGCAUUGCUUCUCCUAAAAGUACUAAUAUUCUGUAAAUAAAUUGAAAUAAUUUUGUAAAAGAUUUUAUGCAUUUUCACUAAUAUAAUCAAGAGAAUUUUGCACCCUUAAAAUAUAAAUAGAAAGAAAGGAAAAUGGUAUGAGUAUAAAGGCGACCAAAUGCAAUAUAUAUCACAUCAGGUGUUUAGAUAUGAUUUGUUAAGUAAUCAAUAAUUUAGUCCUGAUCAAUAUAUGAUGCUUUCUUAUAAAUAAAAAUAUAAUUUGGCAAUUAUGGAUUAACAAAAUUCGUAGUUUGAAUGCAAUCAAUUGAGCACCUAUUUUCUUUUAUUAAGUAGCUAUUAUUUAUUUUAUUACUUAGGUUAUAUAUUUACAUUUAAAAUAACAACAAUAGCUUGCCAAUCCUUGAACCAAUAGAACGUCAAUUAUUGUUAACUAAACUAAUUUUACAUUGAUCAAAAUUAGUCUAGAAAAUGAAAUGUUAAUAGCAACAAUUGGUAAAAAAUAGCAAUCUUUUAAUUUUGGGAAAGUAAAAAAUAAGUUCCCAAAAUAUUUCACUUUUAUUUUUAAAAAAAUCUCAACUUGUUAAUUAAAUUCAAAAUGAUUUAUUAUAAAAAAUAUUCUUCCUCAAAUUAACAUCAAUGAUUAGACAUGAGAUACAAAUAUGGGAAAAAAAGAGAUAAAAAUAUGGUAAAAUAUCUCUCAUACAUAUGUCAUAGAUAUUGGAGACUUUUGGCAAAAAAAAUUUUUGUUGUUAAAAUAAUAUGGUAUUGCAGUGUGCUAAUUAUUUUAGGAUCAUUUUGUACAUGAACUAAAUUUAAUUUAAAUUAUACAAUAGAUUAUAUAUGCAUGUGAUUUUUGUUUAGUGGUUGGAUCUUAUAUUCGUGAACAAUAUCUAGAGAAAAAAAAUUUCAGAUUAUACUAAUUUUGUUAUUUUUAUUAUUGUAUUAAUUGUUACACUAUGUCUCUCAUUUUGUUAGAUCUAUAUUAAUACAAGUUUAAUUCUUAUUAUUUCUUGUGUCCCAAACAAUAAAUAUAUUAAAACUUUAUCAUCUUAACUAGGAAGAUGUGUUGUUAUUAUUAUCCAAACUUUUAAACUUUUCAAAAAUUAUUCAAAAUUAUAAUAUGAUAAAAUUUUAUUAUUUUAUAAGGUUAUGUGAAAGGUCAAAAUAUUUUUCACAUAAUAUUUUAAAAUAUAUAAAUACAAAAAAAAAUUAAAUUAUACAUAUAAUCAUGUAUUAUACAAGUAUAUUACGAGUACUUACUAACUAAGGUACUAAGUUUUAAUCAUUAAUAAAAUAUUUUAUUGUUAUUUCAAAUAAACUUCCUAGUAUUGGUUUGGUAUAAGUUUUUAAAGCAAAAUAGUACAUAUGUGCCAUAAAUUAGUAAGUUUUGGUCAUUAAUCAAAUUUAAUAUGUUAUAAGUAAGAAUUACUAUUUAUGUAUAAAAACUUACUAUUACUUGAACUAAACUUACUCUCUCAAAAGUAUGUUUGGGAUAUAAAAUAGUAAUUUAUCUCCUUAAAAAGUAAGUUUCAUAUUUAUUCCAAUUUACCUUUUGAGACACAAAAGUUACUAAUUAUUACGGUUAACUUACUAUUUUAGAUGAGAAACUUACUUCCUUAUUUUUAGGCAUUAUCCUAUUUAGGUGAAUAGGUCCAACAGAUAAUUAAAUGGUCGCUAAAAGUAUAAUAACCUGUUAUAUCAGGUAAAAACUGUUUAGUUAUCAUAACGAUAGUUACUACAGCAUUUUCCGUAUGUAUUACCUUCUAAUUAUUGUAUAUAUUUUUUAAUUUUUUUCUAACUGGGAAAGGGUAGAAUUUAUAAAAAUAAAAUAAAUAUCACUUAACGUGUUUGGACUCCUGAAUCCUUGUCAAAAAAGGAAAGCAAAAGAAAAAAAAAAAAAAAGUUCUCUAUCGUUACCUCAUCUAGAAGAAAUUGCAUAGCACACAAUAAUAUUAAUAUUAAUAUUAAUUUUGUGAACAUAUAUGUGUUCAUUGCUUGUAACUUGGAGACCAAGCUCGUCAGUAAAUCUAUACAUUUCUCUGGCAAACUCCAAACAGUAGAUUACCAUCCAAUCCUACUUCUUCUAUUGAAUCUAUUCUAUGACACCAAAACCAGCAUGAAUGGCAUAAACAAAGAAAACAAUCCCCAAAUCCCACGUGGCAUCACCCCUCCAAAUAGUAACCUCCACGUACCCAACCCCAACCUCCCUCCCUCGCUCCCUCGCUCCCUCUGGUAAAACCAGACGUGUAGAUGAAAGAUUAUGAGAUUUAGGUCACCUCACCCAUCCCACCCUCCCUCUCCCCACCCACAAACCCCUAACCCUAUACACAAGAAACAAUAGAAUUCAACCAUGGAUAACCACCACAAUGGAGGAGGAGGAGCUGGUACAGCCGCUGACCACAGGCCUAAAACCAAGAUCGUCUGCACUCUGGGUCCCGCUUCCCGCUCCGUUCCCAUGAUCGAAAAGCUCCUUCUCGCCGGCAUGAACGUCGCCCGCUUCAAUUUCUCCCAUGGAUCCCACGACUACCAUCAGGAGACCCUCGACAAUCUCCGCUCCGCCAUGGACAACACUGGCAUCCUCUGUGCCGUCAUGCUCGACACCAAGGUCCAUCCCUCCUCCCCCUUUCUCCCUUCCUUAAAAAAAAAAAAAAAAAAGUGUCUACACAGACACACCCACACAACCAUAGCCACACAUACUUGCACAUGGAAUUUCUCUUUGUAUCGGAUUGGUUGUUUGGUUGGUUGGUUUCUCACCAUCACUGUGUUUCUCCUUUUUUGGAUCUGUUGGAACUUAUAAGGCUUUUCCUUCCAUUUCCGUUUCUCACUGCAUGCUCUACUGUAUAUGGACAUUUGAGGAAGUACAAAUUCGUGGAAGAAUUGUGUCACUUUUCAUGAUGAUGGUGCUUGGUACUAAUUACUAGUACCAUCUCCUACCUUUUUUUGUUUCCCUUUCCUUUCGCGUUUUCUUCUUCAAUAGCUGCUUAACCGUAUACCCCUCCUACAUUUCUCUUCAGUAUUGUUGUUUCCUUCCUUCUUUCUCUCUGUGUAUCUGGUUGCCUUUUCCCUUACGUUCUCGGUUGUUUUCAAUUUCAUUUUUUGACCCAAAAAUAAUGAAGAAAAAAGCCGGCACUUGAAAUUCAUUCAGCCACUAUUAUGCCUGUGAUUAGAUCGUUGGUGUUUCCUGUCCACUCGUUUUCAUGCUUCUUUCAAAUGCACUAGGAUGCACCUUCCAGGUCAUCCAUGUCUAACGUAUCUACGUUGAGCUACUUCUUCUCGGACUUGACUCUCCACUCUGAAAGUUAAUUGGAAGAUGCCACUAUCGUAAUCAAAUUUGUUCAACAUAAAUUGGUUUGCUGCUUCACUUAACAUUCUUUAAACAGAUGUCUGGAGUCUUAAAGUGCGUUUGAUAAAACUGAAGUCUGAAAUCUAAAACUUGAAUCCAUUAAGUUAUUGAAUUGUUAAAUAUUAAAUAUAAUACAUUUGAGUGCAUAUCACAUUCAGUAAUAAGUGAAUAACUUGUCACUUAAUUUUAAGAGCAAGUUUUGCCUAGAAAAUUCAGCACCACUUAAUUAAUUUAGAUAUUCAAUUUUUCGUUAUCAAACGGUCUGAAUAUGUUAAGAUCUGAACCAUUAAGUUUAGGUGCUGAAUUGGAUUAUCAAACAGGGCUUUAGUUAUUAUCUAUGAGGCUGAGAUUGUUUUAGACGUAUUAUGUCACUUGCAAUAGGCAAAGCAAGUCUACGUUUGUUUUACAAAAUGGUAAAAUGAGAGAUUUUCUUCUUCUUGUUAUUCUUCACGGGGAAAAAAUUGGUAAUCCCCAUGUCAUGGUUCAGUUAAAUCUGAAAUUUUGGUUUUGCUGCAUGUCCAGCUUAUUUACAUAUUGGUUGUGUUGAACUGCCGAACUGAUACAGGCAUUGUUUGAGAAUAGUGUCAACCCAGACAAUGGAUUGUUUGAUUCCUCUUAACAGAUGUACCUGUUUCACAGGAGAAUAUGAGUUGUCAGUGUGGGUAGUAAUUUUAUCAUCAUUCCCUUCCUUUCUGUUUGUGCUUGUAAAAGUCCUUGUUUGGAGAACAGUUAUUGGCUUGUGAUGGUAUACAGAUCUAAAUUUCAACCAUCAAGCAUAAAUAAGUCAUUUGCUUGUAAGGAUUGUGAAUUAUGCCUUUUGGAUGAUAGGAAUUUAUAAUAAAUUGACCGUUGCCAUUACUAUUGGGAAUUUGGGCAGCUUUGUACUUCAUUUUAUUCUAGUUUUAGUUAGAUGCAUUAAUUUAUCCUUUCCCAAACCGUGGCCCUAUAGGACUUAUUUGUGAUGUCAGUCUAUAAUAGAGCCUGACGCACCUCUGAAAAACUAACAACUAGAGAGCAUGUGAUGAACUUUUGGGUUAAAAAAAAAUGGAAUCAAAUUCAAGAAUUUUUUUGGGUAUUUGGCAAGCAUGGUGGCAAGUUGACAGUUUGCAUGCAAGCUAAGAAUUAUUUGAUUCUGAUUAUGAGUAUCGUAUACAAUUUGGCAAUAUGCUGCAAUGUUGGGACAAGGAUCUUGACUGUUUAAUUUUGUAUAUUUUGCUUGGCCAGGGUCCGGAAAUUCGAACUGGGUUUUUAAAAGAUGGGAAGCCUAUCCAACUGAAACAGGGCCAGGAGAUCACUAUUUCCACUGAUUACAGCAUCAAGGGAGAUGAGAAUAUGAUCUGCAUGAGCUACAAAAAGUUGGCUGAGGAUGUAAAACCAGGAAGUGUAAUACUCUGCGCAGAUGGCACAAUCUCAUUUACUGUUUUGUCCUGUGACAAAGAACAGGGAAUUGUUCGAUGCCGCUGUGAAAAUACUGCUGUUCUUGGUGAGAGAAAGAAUGUCAAUCUCCCUGGUGUAAUCGUGGACUUGCCAACUUUGACAGAAAAAGACAAGGAAGACAUCUUGAAAUGGGGAGUUCCUAAUAAAAUCGACAUGAUUGCUCUCUCAUUUGUCCGGAAAGGUUCAGAUCUUAUUGAAGUCCGAAAGUUGCUUGGCGAACAUGCAAAAACUAUCCUUCUUAUGUCAAAGGUUUGUCGGAACUAAACUCGUUGCAAAGGUUACAUUAUACAUUUUUAUUCAAGAAGGUAGGUUAAGAGUAUUUUUGCCAGUGUCACAGGAACUUGGCUAUUUUUAUCACCUGUGCUUCUCACUUAUACACACGUGAAUGACCCAAAACAAUUUUAUAUUGUCUACUUAGUUUGAGAAAUAGUUGAAUGCACACGUAAAACAUCUAGAAGAAGAAAUGAAGAACGAGAGGAAGUUGUGGUUAUCUCUCCAAUAAUUAUUCUCUGAGCUGCUCUUGAAUGAGGUCUUAUCGUGUACAUUUUUUUUUUCAGUGAGGCCUCCUUUGAGUUUUAACAAUGUGGGCCAUAAACAAUCGGGUUUAUUUCUUAAAACAUGAGAGGAUUUGACUUUCAUAUGAUCCAGCAGUCAGCUGGAAAUGAUGGAAGUUAUAAUUGGACAUCAAGCAUGGAUAAGUGAAGGGUCUCAAGCUCAUAUCAAGAUUUUUGUUCACUGCCUCUAACACGGGCACAAAUGUCCCAUUCUUCCUAAUGUUUUGCAUUUGGCUGCUUUUGUAGGUGGAAAAUCAAGAAGGGGUGGCGAAUUUUGAUGAGAUUCUGGCUAAUUCUGACGCGUUUAUGGUAGCACGAGGUGACCUUGGAAUGGAGAUUCCUAUUGAAAAGAUAUUUUUGGCUCAAAAAGUAAUGAUUUAUAAGUGCAACAUCCAAGGGAAGCCAGUUGUAACUGCAACACAGAUGUUAGAGUCGAUGAUUAAAUCUCCUAGGCCUACACGGGCAGAAGCUACAGAUGUUGCCAAUGCAGUACUUGAUGGUACUGACUGUGUGAUGCUUAGUGGUGAGACGGCUGCGGGAGCUUAUCCAGAUCUUGCAGUCAGGACUAUGGCCAAAAUUUGCAUAGAAGCUGAAAGCACAAUUGAUUAUGGAGAUAUCUUUAAGCGGAUAAUGGCAAAUGCACCAGUCCCUAUGAGCCCAUUAGAGAGCCUUGCAUCUUCAGCUGUUCGAACAGCUAACUCAGCAAAAGCAGUUCUUAUUUUGGUUUUAACCAGAGGAGGGAGUACAGCAAAGUUGGUUGCCAAGUAUAGGGCUGGCAUGCCAAUACUAUCGGUGGUUGUUCCAGAAAUUAAGACUGAUUCUUUUGAUUGGUCAUGCAGUGAUGAAUCUCCAGCCAGGCAUAGCUUGAUCUUCAGGGGGUUGAUCCCUGUUCUGUGUGCAGGAUCUGCUAGAGCUUCUCAUGAGGAGUCAACUGAGGAGGCGUUGGACUUUGCACUUCAACAUGCUAAAACAAAAGGACUGUGCAAGGAAGGAGAUCCUGUUGUGGCCUUGCAUCGUGUUGGAACUGCUUCGGUCAUCAAGAUUGUGACUGUGAAGUGAUUUUUAUAUUCCGUUCGAGUAUUAACUCAUGGGUUGGUUGUUGGAAGGUCAAGGAAUAAAACCAUUCUGAUUCUGCUUUUUUUUUUUUCCACUCCAUCUCUAAUAGGGUUAUUGACGAUGGUUAUAUCCUUUCUGAUGUUUGCUUUAGUACUUUGUUAAACAUUGUUCAGAAAAACUUUUGCCAGCCCAAUGAGGUGGAUCUCGCAAUUUUUGGCUAUUUGAUACAUAAAUGACAUAAAAGUGAGACCGAGUUCUGGUCUUUUCGAGUGUUAAAUGGAGGCUUUGCUUUAUGAGAUUGGGAACGGUACGAUAUAGUUAGAGAAUACACUUGGGAGCAUACUUCAAAGUCCGGUCGUGGUCGUGGUUCGGACUGUUCUAUAUCGGUCUCGACGAGAUGCAAAUUUUUUGAAAUAUUUAAUAUUUUAAAAAUUAUGAAUAAUAUAAAAAAAUAUGAUAAAUAAAAAUAAUAAAAAUUUGAAUUGAUUCGGAAUGAUUCGGCAAAUCAUUAUCUCGGAAUCAUUUCGUUAUGAUAUCGGAGAGCUCCAUUUGGAUAACAAUUCGGCCGAGCCGUCUCGAACCAUGCCUGGGGCAGAGUCUUUGAACCAUGCCGGGGAGCUGUCCAGUUUGAAUUCUACAUCACUAAAGCUAUGAUACACUGGUGAAUGCGAAUGAGUUUGCAAAAACCACAUUGUUUUCUAUUUUUGUUAGGAUUAUAUUUUUUUAGGAUUUCGUCUAAAUUAGCCAAACUAAUAGAAGUGUAAAAUCUCCUCGUGGUAUUAUCUGCAUAGGGACAUGAAUGGCGCUCUCUCUCUCUCUCUCUGCGCUAUAGCAUUUAAGCAGAUUGGUAUUCAUCAAUUUCGUCCUGCUGGCCUAGGUUAAACCACACCCUUUUUAAGUGGUUCCUACAAACCAUACGAUUGUAUUUUGUUGACAAAUGCGGUUAAACUUCAAUCAGAAUUUCAUUCGCAGCUCAGAACUGGGUCCAUGAAAAAAAAAAAGAAAGGUCUCAGAAGAUACAACAUAAGCCACGCGUUUAGUCCUCUGGCAGAAACUCAAAUUCACCAGUAGCCAAAUAAAGGAAAGAAGGAAAGGACCAACAAAGGGCUUUGCUAUUCAUCAGAUGAGCCGUUUGUUUCCAAAGCUAACUCUAAUUUUCUGCCACUGCGGCUCCCUUGCCUUGAUUAGUGCUAGUCUAACCGCUUCUAUGAGUUCUAUCUAUCAAAAGGGCAUGACUUGCUUGGCAAUUUACUCUCAGGCAGGAAAUGAAGACAUCGGUGUAAGUAAAGCACAUACUAAAAGACAUCAAUUUUGCUUGCAUCUUUGGAAAAUUAGACAGUUUGAAAACGAAAUAUGUAUUAUGUACCCUUUUCUUCAGCCAAAAAAGAAUGACUUGAAGUUCCAACUUCCAACGGAAAAUAGAACUACAGCAACCAUAUAUUGGAACGAAGAAAACUUACUUUAAUCAUAAAUGUCAAAAUUUCACAGAACCAACACUGUCAGCUAGCUUCAAAUGGGACAUCCAUUUUUAAGUAUGGAACUUUAGAUAAUUCACAAGAUCCAUCAACUUGAAGAAAUCUCGCAUCCACGAAAUUGGAGAUAAUAUUCCACCACAGAUACAAAAAAGAACCCAACCCCCCAAAAAAAAAAACACAAAAAAAAGGUUUAACUUCUCCAGAUAAAUUACUAUAGCAUAUAAAAACGAAAUAUACUCACAUGUUCACAAUUAAUUAACAGGGUGGCGGUUUAUGUACAAAAAGGGAAAAAGAGAGAGAAAUCCAAGCAACAUAAAGGCCAUACAUCUGAUAAUAAAGAUUAUAAUCACAAACUUAGUUAUCAUUUGUCUCAGAACUACGUUGGGAUGUAUUAUUGGAUGACUCAGGUGUAUUAUUGGAUGACUCAGGUGUUGAAGAUGAAUUACCAUUGCCGGAUGAAAACAAACUGCUAAAAGGCCACGGAAGUGGUAGAGAGAAGCGUCUUGUAUUUUCACUCCUUCCACCCCGUUCUCCACCUUCACUUCCACUAGCGGCAGCAUUAUUGCCUCCUGCAUCAUUGUUAUUGCUACCAUUCCUAGACACCCUUGACUCCAGUUUUGAUUCAUCUGAAGGUAACUGAUAGCGACAAACAGGGCACGAGCUAUGAAGUUCCAACCACGGUAGAAUACACCCAAUAUGGAACCUAUGCU
rnacentral:lncRNA from 1 species